rnacentral:Y_RNA from 1 species
GGCUGAUCUGAAGUAGUGAUAACUGAUGUUCACAGUCAGUUACAGAUCAAGUGCCUUAUUUUACUUUUUCCCCUCUUCUCACUACUGCACUUGACUAAUUAAAA